AUUGAACGCUGGCGGCAUGCCUUACACAUGCAAGUCGAACGGCAGCGGGGGAGAAGCUUGCUUUUCCUGCCGGCGAGUGGCGAACGGGUGAGUAAUACAUCGGAACGUGCCCUGGAGAGGGGGAUAACUAGUCGAAAGAUUAGCUAAUACCGCAUACGACCUGAGGGGGAAAGUGGGGGACCGCAAGGCCUCAUGCUAUAGGAGCGGCCGAUGGCUGAUUAGCUAGUUGGUGGGGUAAGGGCCUACCAAGGCGCCGAACAGUAGCUGGGCUGGACAGGACGAUCAGCCACACUGGGACGUGGACCCGGCCCAGACUCCUACGGGAGGCAGCAGUGGGGAAUUUUGGACAAUGGGCGAAAGCCUGAUCCAGCAAUGCCGCGUGUGUGAAGAAGGCCUUCGGGUUGUAAGGCACUUUUGUACGGAAAGAAAUGGCUCUGGUUAAUACCUGGGGUCGAUGACGGUACCGGAAGAAUAAGGACCGGCUAACUACGUGCCAGCCGCCGCAGUAA
rnacentral:rRNA from 1 species